rnacentral:rRNA from 1 species
UACGUAGGGACCGAGCGUUGUCCGGAUUCAUUGGGCGUAAAGAGCUCGUAGGCGGCUAUUCAAGUCGAACGUGAAAUCUCGGAGCUCAACUCCGAAACUGCGUUCGAUACUGGGUAGCUAGAGUCUGGUAGGGGGAUCUGGAAUUCCUGGUGUAGCGGUGGAAUGCGCAGAUAUCAGGAGGAACACCGGUGGCGAAGGCGGGAUCCUGGGCCAUAACUGACGCUGAGAAGCGAAAGCAUGGGGAGCGAACAGG